GCGCUCACGUGACCUGCCGUGCCGCCGCCACUCGGAAACCACAUGUUGCAAGCGCACAAACAAACAGGUGGCGGGGCUGCGAGCACGACACACGUUGCCGACGACGCGCGCAUGAAGACCUCGUGCCCUUUGUGCCUGUGAGAGGUGAGCGGCCCGCGAGCCGCCGGUGCCCUCGAGAUGAGGUGGAGUGGCAGACUGGCCGGGGCACUCGCGUUGCUUCACAUCCUGCUCCUCUCCCAAGCACUGGUUCGAACGGCACUCGUCGAGGGAGAGGUCCCCCCGACCCCAGGAGACAACAGUACAGAACCAAUAAAUCAAACUGGACCUUACACCCCCUGGCUAUCCAAUAACUGCUCGGGCACCGUGGAGGUGCUGCUGGGCAGCGAUCGCGUCCCGGUGGAGCUCGACCCCGAGUCCCGGGAGGUUGUGGCGCGGCACACAUGCGAGCGCCUUGGCUGUGGAGAUGCGCACGAAUCCGUCCAACGGGCCGCCGUGCCCAACAGCACCUGUGUGGCGGGUUGUGUCUACAGCGGCACUCAGCUGGACGAGUGCACGGUGCGCCCGUGCUCCAGCAUGAGCCACGUUACGUGCCGGCGCCGUGACGUUCGACUGGUAGGAGGCAACGGCCGCUGCGCCGGACGGGUGGAGGUGUGGGACGGCUGGCAGUGGGAGACGCUGUGCGACGACAUGUGGGACCUGAAGGGCGCCACCGUGGUCUGCGCGCAACUGGGGUGUGGCUUGGCCUUCGCUGCCCCGGGGGAAGGCGGCGCCUUCGGCCCCGGAGUCGGCAACAUCCUCCUGGUGAACUGCGGCGGCACCGAGGAGCACCUGUGGGACUGCCCCUCCAGGAGCCACAACGGCAGCUGUGGACACAAAGAGGACGCGGGAGUCGUGUGCUCAGGUACAUCUGUGACGCCCGCUCUUCCUGCCAACGACACAAGUGCCCCCGUCUCUACCUGGAGCACAGCUGUGACAACCAUGGUGGCCCUCAAGGACACGUCCCCACCGCUGUCCCCCGCUGCUGUCGGCUGCAUCAUCCUGACUCUCAUCCUUCUGAUGGUCCCUGUGGUGAACGUUCUCAUCUGCUGGCUCUACCGGAAGCGACAUGGUGUUGCAUUCGAGGAGCGCGACCCCGGCCUGCGGACGCUGAGGCUGAACGGGGACGACGAGCGGCGCCGCUCGGGUGACCUGCUUACCGUGUCCAGCGACGGCGCGGGGAACGGAGUGCCGUCGCAGCCCCGGCAGCUACCGACCCAGGACAGCGUGGACCGGUCCUCGUGCGGCUCGGACUACGAGGAGUACGACUUCAGCGUGGAGCCCUCCGUCGCCUUGGCGGCCUAUAAGAACUCUGUGCGCGACAAGGAGGAGGAGGAGGAGAAGAGCAAGGUGAUGAAGGUCCCGGCCCUGUUGAGCCUGCGGGAAGAGUGGGCGGAGCCUGGAGGAGGCGUCGUUCCCAGCAGCUCCUCAUACCCGCAGCGCCACCAGCAGGCGGACGCGGACAGUUCCAGCACAUCCUCUGGAGAGGACUACAUCAACGACGCGGCACCUGCGGCCCUGGCGAGCGGCGAGUGCGGGGAAGACGCCGACGAGAGACGUGACCUCGGCCGACCGGAUCCGCGCGACUCUUCCAGCACGUCGUCCGGAGAAGAGUACGAGAAUACGGGACAUGCAGCGGAGGACCUGCUGGUGCCAGCAGGUGCUGCCGGCCCUUGGCUUUCCCAGGAGGUGACGCAGGCGCCCGUCCCUCAUCGCACAGGCAGCGGUAACCCAGGAGACGACCCCUGCGGUGACCACCGAGUCCCACCCCAGCCGGACCCGCCCAGCUGCGACGACUCGUCCAGCUUCUCCUCGGAAGACGACUACCAGAAUGUAGGGGUGGAACAGGAGUUUGUGCCCCCAGCGGAGGGAGGGUCCUCGAGCUCCUCCUCGAGCUGCGACUACGACACCGUCGCCGACUCGUGAUCUUCAGCACAGCACGUCACGUCACAGAUGAUCAUGAUCGAAGCGUCACAUGAGACUUUGACACUGUUUCAGCGCUAUAAACGUUGCGUGUGGUGGCAACAGGUGGCGUAGCGGUUAAGGAUACGAGGAGGAGCCCUGCUGUUGGACCUUUAACAAAUUACCAAUGGAACCCAAGAGCCCCGGUGAAACAGCCACCUGGACGGACGGGUCACACGUGUGCCUCGGGUCACAGCUCUGACGUGGCAGCGAAAUACCAGCAUGGAAGUAACUGGUUACAUAAGAAGAUGGAUAAUACCACACAUUUAAUUAUUAUUAUUUUUAAAUCUCUGCACCUUUGGUCGGAUCAUUUCGAGCGGCGGCGCACGGUGAGACUCCACUUUCCGGAAACUCCU